ACGGAAGGCAGCAGUGGGGAAUAUUGCACAAUGGGCGCAAGCCUGAUGCAGCGACGCCGCGUGAGUGAAGAAGUAUUUCGGUAUGUAAAGCUCUAUCAGCAGGGAAGAAAAUGACGGUACCUGACUAAGAAGCCCCGGCUAACUACGCGCCAGCAGCCGCGGUAAUACGUAGGGGGCAAGCGUUAUCCGGAUUUACUGGGUGUAAAGGGAGCGUAGACGGCAUGGCAAGCCAGAUGUGAAAGGCAGGGGCUCAACUCCUGGACUGCAUUUGGAACUGUCAAGCUAGAGUAUCGGAGAGGUAAGUGGAAUUCCUAGUGUAGCGGUGAAAUGCGUAGAUAUUAGGAGGAACACCAGUGGCGAAGGCGGCUUGCUGGACGAUAACUGACGUUGAGGCUCGAAAGCGUGGGGAGCAAACAGGAUUAGAUACCCUGGUA
rnacentral:rRNA from 1 species